rnacentral:rRNA from 1 species
UAAGUCAGAUGUGAAAUCCCCGGGCUCAACCUGGGAACUGCAUCUGAUACUGGCAAGCUUGAGUCUCGUAGAGGGGGGUAGAAUUCCAGGUGUAGCGGUGAAAUGCGUAGAGAUCUGGAGGAAUACCGGUGGCGAAGGCGGCCCCCUGGACGAAGACUGACGCUCAGGUGCGAAAGCGUGGGGAGCAAACAGGAUUAGAUACCCUGGUAGUCCACGCCGUAAACGAUGUCGACUUGGAGGUUGUGCCCUUGAGGCGUGGCUUCCGGAGCUAACGCGUUAAGUCGACCGCCUGGGGAGUACGGCCGCAAGGUUAAAACUCAAAUGAAUUGACGGGGGCCCGCACAAGCGGUGGAGCAUGUGGUUUAAUUCGAUGCAACGCGAAGAACC